AUCUUUAGAGGGAGAGGCGUUCUGACUUUGAGUAUUCUCAGCUUUUUUACGCUGGUUUCUUCCCGUCAUUGUAAAUUUAUCCUCCUCUCGUCUUUGAAAUUACCAACUUUCAGGUUAGGUCUCUUGAGUGGGCAUCCAGGUUGUUAGUUCCCAGGGCCAGAAUGGUGGCGUUAAGACUGAUGGUGCUUUUCUUCCCAGGAUUCUCCUGUCUGGCUUCCUUCUUGUGUCUGUAGUAGGCGACUCUGCCUUCCCGGGGCUCCAAACCUCGGUCAGAAGGGGAACCGGUCCCAUUUACUCUGCGCCGAGCGCUGCCGCGCCAAGGUGCCUUCACAGCCGCUGCGCUGGGCUCUGGUGUCCUGCUGGGGGCCCGUGCGGGUCCUCCAAACCUGUUUACUCUGCUCCAAGAGCUGCCGCGCCGAGGUGCCGGCGGAACCGCUGCACCCGCCACGAGAGUCGCGCUGGUGACCCGUGUGUUUCCUCCACUGGGGAUCUUCUGCUCAGUGAGCGACCAGAAUUUGUCUGAAAGUGUGGCAUCCUCUAGUUCUCUGCGCCUUCACUGAGAGCUACAAUCCCGGGAUGUUAGCGAUCGGCCAUCUUGGAUCGUCUCUCCACAAAGCAAAUUUUUAAAAAUAUUUAAUCAAGACUCAGAAAUGUAUGGAUAUUUAUUAUACUCAUAUAAUUUUUAUGACCAUAAAAAUGACCCUGUAGUUAAUAAUAUUGAAAUAACUAAAAGUAUAUAAUGGGAAUCUUUGUAAUACAAAGAUAAAUACAUGCUCCAGGUGAUGAAUACCUUGUUUACUCUGUGAUAAUUAGUGUAUGCCUGUUAAAAUAGCUCAUAAAUGCAUAAGUGUUUUUGCACACUACCUACAAAUUUUUUUUAAAAAAUUAAGGUAAAAAAGAAUACAAAUUUGACCUAUGGGAACAAAUUCAACUUAUUUGCUAUUUAGAACCACUGGCAGGCUAGGUGUGGUUGCUCAUGCCUGUAAUCUCAGCAGUUUUGGAGGCUGAGGCAGGCAGAUCACUUGAAGUCAGAAGUUUGAGACCAGCUGGGCCAACAUGGUGAAACCCUGUCUCUACUAAAAAUGCAAAAAUUAGCUGGGUGUUGUGGUGGGCACUGGUAGUCCCAGCUACUCAGGAGGCAAGAGAAUUGCUUGAACCCAGGAGGCAGAGGUUGCAGUGGCCUGAGAUUGUGCUGUUGCACUCCAGCCUGGGCAACAAAAGAGAAACUCCAUCUCAAAAAACAAAAACCAAAACAAAAAAAACCUGGCAAAAAAGAGAUUACUAGAGAUAUCAUUCUCCUACAUAAACAAAUAACAUAUUGUUACCAUUUAGAACCUUAAGUAAGAUGGGACAGGCUAAAGUUGAUGGCAGAUUAACACUUCUUUCAAAGCACAACAGUUUUAGCACAUUAAAAACAAUUUUGUUUAAUGAAAAAAUUGAGCUCACACAUAAUCUUUAAGAUUUUUUAAAAUUUAUUGCAUUUUAUAACAUAAAGGUAUAAUUGAUUAAAUAAUUGACUAACAUUCAAAAGUUUUCCUCUCGAUAGAAUUCAGAAUUUUACUCUGAACACCUGCCUUUUACAUCACCAAAACAAUGUUAUAAGUCAACCACAAAUAGCCUCUCCAUUUAGAUUUUCAUUAUGCAUCUUACAACUCAGUGUCCUUACUCUUUCAUAGAAAAGUUUAUGAAUAAUGGACACCUAAUAAAAACAAUCUCUCAUAUCUCUGAUGCAACAAUUGAUCAAACACUUUCACAUAAACAAUGAGAAGAAAGAAUCAACAUGAAGUUACUUGAAAGUUGAGUUACAUUAUUAUUUGCUUUUCAGAAAAUCUACUUUUUAAUAGAAAAAGAAGCAUACCUCGAAUGCAAUUAUAAAUCUUCAAAAAAUCUACUUCCUCAUAUCCUCACCAGAAGCAGAUGCUUGCAUAUACUUGUAAGGUCUACUGAACUGUGAACCAAAAAAAUAUAUAUAUUUUUUUAUAAAUUACCCAAUCUCAGGCAAUUUUUUUAUAGCAAUGCAAAAUGAAUUCAUAUACAAUGUGUUCUUCAGGUUUUCUAUUUUUUAAAAUUGAUUUUUUUUGAAUUUUUUAUUAUUUUUUUAAAAUGAGGUCUUAAUAUUUAUAAUUUUAUGUUGCUACUUUAUUUCUUGCUUCAUUUUUGUCAAUAUUUGCUUUAUAUAUUUUGAAGCCCUGAUGUUAUAUGUACAUAUAUUUUAAACAAAUGCUUAGACUAAAAAAAAGCUAAUGAAACUCUUAGAAAAAAAAUAUAGAGGAAAGACAUGAUAUUGGUCUUGGCACCAUUUUCUUAAGCCAUCAAAUGCACAAGCAACGAAAAGAACAGACAAAUUUAAGUGGACUAAACUUCCAAACUUCUGCAAAUAAAACACAUAAUAAAGUGACAGUGCACCCCAAGAAAUGGGUGACAAAAUUUGAAAAUCACAUGUGAUAAGAGUUAAUAUUCAGAAUAUAAAAACAACUCCUAGAACUAGACAACAAUAAUUGAAUUACUUGAUUUAGAAAUAGACAAAUGAGCCAAGUGUGGUGGCUCACACUUGUAAUCCCAGAACUUUGGGAGACCAAGAUGGGCAUAUCACCUGAGGUCAGGAGUUUGAGACCAGCUUGACCAAGAUGGCGAAACGCCACCUCUACUAAAAAUACAAACUUAGCUGGGUAUGGUGUCAUAUCUCUGUAAUCCCAGCUACUCAGAUGGCUGAGGCAGGAGAAUCGUUUGAAUCCAGGAGACAGAGGAGCCUAGAUCGUGCUGUUGCACUCCAUGCUGGGCAACAAGAGCAAAACUCCAUUUCAAAAAAAAAAAAAAGACAAAUGAUUAAACUAAAUUUUAAUUUAAAAAAGAUACCCAAAUGGCAAGAAGCAUUUGAAAAGCUGCACAAAAUUAAUAAUAUAUAGAAAAAUGAAAAAAUCACAUUAGAAAACAAAAUUACCUUACAUCGAUUAGAAUGGCCACUACAAAAACAAACCUGCAUGAUCUGCACAUGUACCCCAGAACUUAAAGUAUAAUAAAAAAGGCAAAAAAAGACGAAAAUCAGAAAAACCCCACCAUGUUGAUGAUGUAAAGAAAUUGAAACCUAUGUAAGUUGUUGAUGAUAAAAAUGCAGCAAUUAUAAAAAAUAACAUGUUCAUCCUCUAAUUGGGACUCCGAGCCGGGGCUAUUUCUGGCGCUGGCGCGGCUCCAAGAAGGCAUCCGCAUUUGCUGCCAGCGGCGGCCGCGGCGGAGCCAGGCCGGUCCUCAGCUCCCAGCACCGCCGCUCCCGGGAACCCAGAGUGUGCACCGCAGGCCGGCGGCCGAGCUCGCGCAUCCCAGCCAUCACUCUUCCACCUGCUCCUUAGAAAAGGGAAGAUGAGCGAAUGGAGCUCAAAGUCCAGCCAGACCUUGGCCUCCAAGCAGGAAAAGGACGGCACUGAGAAGCGUGGCUGGGGCCUCUGGUGAGUCCCGGGACAGCGCUGGUAGGGAGUCAGAAGGAGCCUAGUGAAGUGCCAACGCCGAAGAGACCUCGGGGCCGACCAAAGGGAAGCAAAAACAAGGGCGCUGCCAGGACCGGAAAACCACCACAACUCCAGGAAGGAAACCAAGGGGCAGACCCAAAAAACUGGAGAAGGAGGAAGAGGAGGACAUCUCGCAGGAGUCCUUGGAGGAGGAGCAGUGACCGUGCGUGCAGCCUGUUCCUCACUGGAGGAGCAGCUUCCUUCUGGGACUUGACACCUUUGCUCCGCUCCCACCGCCCCCGCCCCUUCCCCAGGCCCACCAUCACCACCGCCUCCGGCCGCCAUCCCCAUCUUCCACCUGUACCUUCACCAUCACACUACACAGCACACCAGCUGUUACAGGGCCCCCAUGGGCUGAGUGGGGAGCAGUUUUUCCCUGGCCUCAGUUCCCAGCCCCCCCGCCCACCCAUGCAUACACACAUGCGCUCCUGGACAAGGCUAACAUCCCACUUAGCUGCACCCUGCACCUGCUGUGUCCCCACUCCCUUGGUGAUGGAGACAUUGCUCUCUGGGCUUUUGGUUUGGGGGCGCCCUCUCUGUUCCUCUACUGUUCUCUCUGGCUUCCCAUAGUGGGCUCUGGGAGGGUUCCCCUGGCCUUAAAAGGGGCCCAAGCCCCAUCUCAUCCUGGCAUGCCCUACUCCACAGCCCUGGCAGCAGCAGAUGUGGCCAAUGGAGGGGGGUGCUGGCCCCCAGAAUUCCCUCAGCCAAACUGUCUUUUUCACCACAUAGGGCUCACACCUUUCAUCUUUCCCCACCUUCCCUAGUCCCUCCACUAGGUUGGACAGCCCCGUUUGGCUGCAGGAAGACAGGAGGGGUACGAGUCUCCUACACCCUUUUCACUGUGGUCCCAGUCCCCUGGCCCUCCGCCUGGGAUCUGAGUAUAUAUUGUGGUGAUGGAGAUGCAGUCAUUUAUUGUCCAGGUGAGGCCUGUGAGCCCUGUGGCUACCACCUGAGAUGGGCUGGAGCUGUUCCCCCCACCCUACUUUACUUCUGCCUCUCAGCCAUUUCCCCCUCCUCAGAUGGGGCACCAAUAACAAGGAGCCCAACCCUCUCACUCCUCCCUGUCCCCCAAGGUUCUAGUUCCAUUUUUCCUCUGUUCACAAACGACCUCUGGACAGUUGUGUUGUUUUUUGUUCAAUGUUCCAUUCUCUGACCUCCAUCAUUGCUGCUGCUAACAGCGCCAAAUGUUCAUCCUCAAUGCCUCCUGUUCUGCCCACGAUACCAUACCCCAAGAUACUCUUCAUGGGGAAGAGGGGCUGGGGCAUGGCAGGCUGGGUGACUGACUACCCCAGUCCCAGGGAUGGUGGGGCCCUGCCCCUUGGAUGCUACAGCAGAGUGAGCAAGGGGGCCCGAAUCCACCACAAAAGGUGUAGGGGCCACCUCCUCCCCUUGUUCUUUUGGGGAAGGGUAGCCAUGAUUUGUCCCAGCCUGGGGCUCCCCCUCUGGUUUCCUAUUUGCAGUUACUUGAAUAAAAAAAUAUCUUUUUCUGGAAAAAAAAAAA